rnacentral:rRNA from 1 species
UGGGGAAUAUUGGACAAUGGGCGAAAGCCUGAUCCAGCCAUGCCGCGUGAGUGAAGAAGGUCUUCGGAUUGUAAAGCACUUUAAGUUGGGAGGAAGGGCAGUUACCUAAUACGUAUCUGUUUUGACGUUACCGACAGAAUAAGCACCGGCUAACUCUGUGCCAGCAGCCGCGGUAAUACAGAGGGUGCAAGCGUUAAUCGGAAUUACUGGGCGUAAAGCGCGCGUAGGUGGUUUGUUAAGUUGGAUGUGAAAUCCCCGGGCUCAACCUGGGAACUGCAUCCAAAACUGGCAAGCUAGAGUAUGGUAGAGGGUGGUGGAAUUUCCUGUGUAGCGGUGAAAUGCGUAGAUAUAGGAAGGAACACCAGUGGCGAAGGCGACCACCUGGACUGAUACUGACACUGAGGUGCGAAAGCGUGGGGAGCAAACAGGAUUAGAUACCCCUGUAGUCCCUGAGCGGGCUGGCAAGGCGCAU